GACUCUGUGGCGCAAUGGUAGCGCGUCUUGACUCCAGAUCAGAAGGGUGUGUGUUCAAAUCACAUCAGGGUCA